UACGAAGGGUGCAGACGUUGCUCGGAAUUAUUGGGCGUAAAGCGCACGUAGGCGGCUAUCUAAGUCGGAUGUGAAAUCCCUCGGCUUAACCAAGGAAGUGCACCCGAAACUGGAUAGCUUGAGUACAGAAGAGGAUCGUGGAAUUCCCGGUGUAGCGGUGGAAUGCGUAGAGAUCGGGAAGAACAUCAGUGGCGAAGGCGGCCUGCUGGGCUGUUGCUGACGCUGAGGUGCGAAAGCGUGGGGAGCAAACAGG
rnacentral:rRNA from 1 species